UGGCGAUGGAUCCCCAGAACGUUUCUGGAUCUUUGACUGACAGUUCAUAUAAAUCUGAGUAGGUCUUGCCAGCGAGAUGCGAGCUGAGGUCCGGUUGAACCGUGCUGAUGCUGGACAGAGACCUGGCGUGACACCCAGGUGGCUCGUGACCGUUCCUCACAAGAGAGAGACAGGGGAAGCUGCAGCCUGGAGCAAUGGGCGUGCCAAAAGGGGGACCCUGCUCCACCUUUCCUACCACACACCUGAUGGAUACUGACUGUAAAAUGGCAAUCAUAGGAGGAGGGCUCACUGUGAAUAGAUGUGUGUCAGUGCACCAGCCUUGAUAAAGCCUUCAUAACAGCCUUCUGGAUGUAUUUUGUGCUCAACAUUGCAUAACUAAUACACCUGAGAAAGACACUGACUUUCCUUCAGAGGCACAUUCUCAACAUUAGAAGAGGGAGACAAGCACUGUCAGUAACUUUACUCUGAAUGAUAAGCAUUUUGUAUUAGAUCCUCAUGCCUUGACUGUACCAUUGGCCAAAGUGCACUCGAAGGACAUUCACUCUUUUGAAGGUUUACCCAACAUGUUGGAGUGGUACAUGCAUAUUAACCAAAUAUUAGUAUAACCUGUGGUAUAGAUGAGCACCAAUCACCUUUUUGUGAUUCCAUUCUUUUAGUAAACAUGCACAGGAACCAUAUGUACUUUUGGUACUCAGUGCAGAGUCAGCAGUACAGUUGUAUUAUAAUAUAAUGGAGAAGGUUCUGGCUGCAUGCUAGCAUCUCUCAGACACUUGUGCUUCGGCUUGUGACAACACUUGCAGUGUUUUUUAUUUUAUAUUUUAUUCUACUUAUUGGUUACUUCUUGUUUGAAUCUCUCAACAUGAGUUUUUUCUCUUGUGUAGGUAUUGUUGACUGCAAGUCUGUCCAUCCAGAUGUGAGGAAGACCCAGCAGGUGUGUCAUGGCUAUAGAUACUGUGGUCUUGGAAAGAAAGGCGUCUUCACAUCCAUCCAUCCAUCCAUCCAUCCUGAAAGCUAAAUAAAUGUUUUAGUGGAUAAUGUUGUGUCUGUUUGCUUAUGUCACGUAACAUAAGAUUACUAAACUCUUGACUAAUGUUUUAAUUUGAUAAUUUAGUGGUUUUGUCAACUACAUCUUUUUUUUCUUCCUAGCAAAACCUAGUUUUCUAGGGUAACACUUUACAAUAAGGUUUCAUUUGUUAACAUUUAAGUAAUGCCUAACAUUAACUAUGAGCAAUACAUUCGAUACAGUAUUUAUUCAACUUUGUUAGUUAAUAAAAAUACAGCUGUUCGUUGUUUGUUCUUGUUAGUUCACUAAUAUAAAAAAUACAGCUUUUGACUUUAACUUAAGAACAGCAGUUGGGACUAACCGUGUUAAGAGACUUUUGUAUUCUCAAAAAUAAUUUUAAUCUGUUUUUGAUUAUUGAUAAACUAAGACCUAAGCGUGAGGGGGUGAUGACGUCAGUAAGCCGUUUUAAAGGUACUUCUCGAAAGUAAUUUAAAAUAAUAUUCUUUAAAUCAUUAACGCUAUUUUUUACCUUGGAAGAAUUACAUUUGGUUUUAUAGGAUUAUGUGUUUAAUUUAUUGCUUUCUAUUAAUAGGCCAAUAAACAGCCAGUUUUCGCUAAACCUUUUGGCACGCCCCCUACCUUUCUUUCAACCAAUGAUAAUCAUUUUGACACGCCCACCUUUUGG